AUUUUAGAAAAGACUAAUCAAGGUAACAAAAUAAAUGAGGGAGUCGCAUGUACUAAAGAACGAGAGAGACCGGAUGCAUCGGCAGGGUAAGCGCCUCCUGUUCGCAUGCAUCACAUGUUUAUUACCCUGAUUUGUUUUCGCCUAAUCGAUUGAUGAUUAUUGAACAGCGAUAAACUACUGUUGCCUUAUUAGCCAUGCAAAUCCACA
rnacentral:lncRNA from 1 species